GUUCCUCACAGAUUUGAACUGCUGUGCAGGCAGACCAUGAUGGUGCAGACGCGGAAAAGACCAGAAAGAGAGAUUUUCUUUCACUCACAAAGCGGAGCAGACGGGGAAGUUGGUUUUAACAAGGAAAACACGGAAAAUGGAAACUGCAGAGAACCACAUCCUGUCGUCCUGAAAAAAAGAAAGAAACUACUUUUUCUCCAAGGAGGUCCAAACGCCAUUGGCACAGACUUUGUUCAGUGAUCAGUAUGAUACAUUCAGCCAGGGCCGUCCUUAGGGGGUGCAACUGAUGCGGUCGCACCGGACUCCACACUUGAGGGGUAAACGGACUGAAUGAGAGCA